AACGAACGCUGGCGGCAGGCCUAACACAUGCAAGUCGAACGCUGUAGCAAUACAGAGUGGCAGACGGGUGAGUAACACGUGGGAACCUACCUAUUGGUACGGAAUAGCUCAGGGAAACUUGAGGUAAUACCGUAUACGCCCUUACGGGGAAAGAUUUAUCGCCGAUAGAUGGGCCCGCGUCUGAUUAGCUAGUUGGUGAGGUAAUGGCUCACCAAGGCGACGAUCAGUAGCUGGUUUGAGAGAAUGACCAGCCACACUGGGACUGAGACACGGCCCAGACUCCUACGGGAGGCAGCAGUGGGGAAUCUUGGGACAAUGGGCGCAAGCCUGAUCCAGCCAUGCCGCGUGAGUGACGAAGGCCUUAGGGUGUAAAGCNCUUUUGCGGGACGNUAAUGACGGUACCGCA
rnacentral:rRNA from 1 species